GCACCAAAGAAUUUCAGGAGAACAUUAAUAUGGGUUUAACAGAUUAUAGCAAAGACUUUCAUUGUGUUGACUGUGAUUCCCAUCUUGGGAGAAAGACAGGAUAUAAAUUAAACAAACAAAAUCGUGAGAAAGUAUGUCUCUCUCUAAAAGAAGUAGGUGUGUCAUAACACCUUAGUGUUUUCAUGUGUAACCUACACUUUUAACCAGAGGCCAUUGCAAAGAGACAACUGGAGAAACUGAAUGGUUUUCCAUCAGCAAUGGGAUCAGACAAGUCAGCAUUUUAUCACAUUACCUGUUUAAUUUAUAUGCAGAACAUCUCAUAUGGAAAGCAGGAGUGGACUCAUGAUAAACAAGGAUGAAAAUUGGAGGAAGUAAAUCAAGAUGCAAAGAAGUAAAAUCAAGAUGUGAAGAUUACACCAUAAUACUUGCAAAAAAUAACAAAAACUUGGAAAAACUGUUAAUGAAUGUUAAGGAAGAAAGUGCAUAAGCAGAGUUACAGGUGGGUGAAAUCAUAUCUGUGAUUAAUCUAAGAAGGAAGAAGCAGAUGCUGCCAGAGAAAACAAUACAGCAGUAGCAGGAUUUCCCCCGAAAAAGUGAACGUGUGACACAUGCUUUUGCUCUCAGCCAGAUGCACCCUCUUAAAUGAUCUUGGACAUGCUCUCCUCCUUUCUUGGCACCUGGUGGCAGCGAGAAUAUUAUUUGCCAAAUUUUGGAAAAGAAAGGAAAUUCUAGCAAUAGAAGAGUGGAAAAUAAAAAUGAUGGAUAUUUAUGAAAUGGACAAAUUGACACAUUUGAUAAAUAAUCGUUCUAUGGAAGACUUCUAUACUGAAUGGGAAGUAUGGAAAGAGUAUAUCCAGAAAGAAAAAAGAGAAGAGCUUCACGUGGCCUUGAUGCCAGAUUAAUUAAUAUGGUAUUGAAAAUAAAGGAAAUAUAGAAAAGGUUUGGAAUAACAGUCAAUAUUGAAAAGGAUAAGGGAUAGAUUUAUAAUAAAACGUGUAUUUGUAUGUGUAUUUGUUCCGGGGUAAGAAAUGACCAUAUAAAAUGUAUGAUAUAUGAUAAAAUUCAAAAAGGCAUAACAGCACAAAGAAGGAAGAUAGAUAGAUAGGAUAUAAUCUGAUAUAUAAUCAAACAUGAUGAAAGACUGUAUAUAAGAUUAGUAGAAAAAUAGUAACAAAUUAGUAUAAUUUAGAGAAAUCCAGUAAUUAAAGAAGUAUUAAGAAGAGAUGUAGAACAAAAUGAUAUUGUAUGACAUUGUUUGUGUGUUUGUGUUUUGUGGGGUUUAUUCUCUCUCUUGUAUAUAAUUUUUUUUAACA